GGUGUGAUAGUGUAGUGGCAACACUCCUUCAGCUGGCCUGAAGGCAACCCGCGUUCGAUUCGCGGUCGCACCA